rnacentral:rRNA from 1 species
UACGUAGGGGGCUAGCGUUGUCCGGAAUCAUUGGGCGUAAAGCGCGUGUAGGCGGUCCGGUAAGUCCGCUGUGAAAGUCGGGGGCUCAACCCUCGGAUGCCGGUGGAUACUGUCGGGCUCGAGUACGGAAGAGGCGAGUGGAAUUCCUGGUGUAGCGGUGAAAUGCGCAGAUAUCAGGAGGAACACCGAUUGCGAAGGCAGCUCGCUGGGACGUGACUGACGCUGAGACGCGAAAGCGUGGGGAGCAAACAGG